AGGUCCCCCAGUGGUAGAGCUGGGGUUUGACCCUGGGCAGCCUGGCCUGAGUUCUUGGCUUGUCACCACUCAUCUUCCUCUGUCAGUGCCAUGAUGAGUCUAGCAAGCUGCCUCGUACCCAGCCAGACGGCACCAGUGUCCCUGGAGAACCAGCCUCACCUAUCUCCCAGCGCCUGCCCCCCAAGGUAGAAUCCCUGGAGAGUCUCUACUUCACUCCCAUCCCUGCUCGGAGUCAGGCCCCCCUGGAGAGCAGCCUGGACUCCCUGGGAGACGUCUUCCUGGACUCGGGUCGUAAGACCCGCUCCGCUCGUCGGCGCACCACGCAGAUCAUCAACAUCACCAUGACCAAGAAGCUAGAUGUGGAAGAGCCAGACAGCGCCAACUCAUCCUUCUACAGCACGCGGUCUGCUCCUGCUUCCCAGGCUAGCCUGCGAGCCACCUCCUCUACUCAGUCUCUAGCUCGCCUGGGUUCUCCCGAUUAUGGCAACUCAGCCCUGCUCAGCUUGCCUGGCUACCGCCCCACCACUCGCAGUUCUGCUCGUCGUUCCCAGGCCGGGGUGUCCAGUGGGGCCCCUCCAGGAAGGAACAGCUUCUACAUGGGCACUUGCCAGGAUGAGCCUGAGCAGCUGGAUGACUGGAACCGCAUUGCAGAGCUGCAGCAGCGCAAUCGAGUGUGCCCCCCACAUCUGAAGACCUGCUAUCCCCU
rnacentral:sRNA from 1 species